ACGAACGCUGGCGGCGUGCUUAACACAUGCAAGUCGAACGGAAAGGCCCUGCUUGCAGGGUACUCGAGUGGCGAACGGGUGAGUAACACGUGGGUGAUCUGCCCUGCACUUCGGGAUAAGCCUGGGAAACUGGGUCUAAUACCGGAUAUGACCUUCCAUGUAGUGUGGGGGGUGGAAAGAUUUAUCGGUGUGGGAUGAGCCCGCGGCCUAUCAGCUUGUUGGUGGGGUAAUGGCCUACCAAGGCGUCGACGGGUAGCCGGCCUGAGAGGGUGGACGGCCACAUUGGGACUGAGAUACGGCCCAGACUCCUACGGGAGGCAGCAGUGGGGAAUAUUGCACAAUGGGCGGAAGCCUUAUGCAGCGACGCCGCGUGGGGGAUGACGGCCUUCGGGUUGUAAACCUCUUUCGACAGGGACGAAGCUUCGGUGACGGUACCUGUAUAAGAAGCACCGGCUAACUACGUG
rnacentral:rRNA from 1 species